CACCACAUGCAGUGAUAGGCAUGCAGUCAUACAGAGUUGAUGCUCAAAGUAGAAGGUUCACUUAGAAGUCACAUCAUAGUAUGGCUUUGAUUGUUUGACAAUAAGAUGUGUUCAAGCAUAUGUAUUAGAAAUUUGGGUUGGAGAUCAUUGAUGUCGAUAGGGUUAAAGAAGGAUGUGGCCUUUGUUGACCACAAAUUGCUCAAUGAGGAAAUAUAGUUUGUGUGGUUGUUAAUGAUC
rnacentral:lncRNA from 1 species